rnacentral:lncRNA from 10 species
GGAAGAACUGCCUGAAACAGCUCAGGGCUUGUUCCUCUCUUUGCUGAGGAAUGUGACAUCUUGAGUUAAGAACUGCUUUGUUCUUCUCUCCUCUAGAAGCCAAAUGUCCUCCACAGCUUUGCCCAGUGGGACACAUGGCUCCUGACAUACGUAACCCAGGAUGGGAUGCCUUGUUGGAGUCUCUCAGAUAUGGAGCAAAAUGGGCCAUGUGCAGUCAAGACGCCAUCUACCCUGGGCAGCUUGCCUAAGCCUCGAGGGACCUGCCAAUGAUGGAUCUGAGACCUCUUCUGUCCCUGGCUGCCUAUCUGUCUGGUCCUCAUCAAGAACCCAGUGUUCCCACCCGAGAUGGAGACGUGAAUAAUCUUCCUAAGCCUAAUCCUGCCAGAAGCGUGAAGCAAGGGGGAAUUUGGAAGGCGGAACAGGAAAGAGUGGAAGUUUAGUUUACCGCUCUCCAAAAUAGAAGCUCUUUUCCCUGAGAUAGAAGCAAGAUGCUGCAAGAGAAAGGGUCAGAGAAACUGGAUUCAAUUUUAAUUUAGCCUGGAUGCUGAAAUAACCCUAUCUCUACUAAAUGCCAAAUCUUCACAUUCUCUUGGCCAACAAAGUGACUCCAGUGUUGCCACGGCAACCGUCUGUGGGUAGGCAUGAAGGACAGCACCUCACCUUAGCUGCAGCAGCCCACACACACAGCUCACUUUCUGCCUGGACUCCUCUGCCUGCAGCUGGUAUCGGGCCUGUUGGAAUUUGCUCAUCCAUUUCAUCGUGGGCCAGUGUGAAAUGGCACAGUGGAGUUUCUUUGAGGCUACAUGGGAACUAUUUGAACUCUUUCAGAAGACGGACUCCUCGAUAAAGCAGUAGUACUCCUGUUUCCAACAUUUCACAUUAUUGUAAGUUGCAUUACAGUGAACAGAAUUUUAUUGAAGCACAAGGGCUAUAUUUCAGGUUCUACUGAGUGUAUCAUUUUGUUUUGUCAGACACUUUUAUGGAUAAUUAUGGAUGAAAAUUUAUAAAAAAUCUAAAAGUCAUCAUUGACUCUUUUCUCGCUUAACCUGCGUAAUCAAUUGGUCGAGUCCUAUUGAUUUUUCUCCUCAAUAGCUCUCCAAUUUCUCUUCUUCUCUGUGUCUCCACCGCAUCAAUAUAGUUCAAGCAACCAUCACUCUCCCCUAAUUCAUUAGAGCAGCAUUCUACCUGUCACCAAUCCACUGGGAUGAAUUCAAAGGAACUGAUCUUAGUAUUUCAUUUCAACAAUUGUCUUCUUGAAAUACUGUUAAAAAUAUUGUCAUUUUUUGCUUUGCCCCCACUCCUGGGUGGGCCAAACUCUCAAUGAAUCAUGACAUUGAACCCUGCUUGGAAUGGGUUGUUCAGCAGUGCAUAGAAGGUGCCUGACAGCUGUGUGCAUCAAUCCAGAUCCUUUCAGUCUGUGCCUUGCACCGAGUCUGCAUACAUCUAGAUAAAAUGAAUCUGUCAGCCUACUUUGACAAUAAAAUGAUGGGGAUAUGAAAAGCUGAAUUAAAUCUAAGACCAGGUGAAUUCUGAGAGAAGUCAGGAUAGAGAAUAACCAUCAUAGAGAUAGGAAAUCUUAGACUAUUCCAAUUCUGAAUUCUAAUAAAUGUAGCUAAAAAACAUCAGAUUAAAAGUGUUUGUCAGGUAUGUGUCUUGGAACUAAAGGUAUUUUCCAUGUUAAAUAUAAUUAAAUGAUCUACAGAAUAAAAGAAUGUCUCAAAAAUAUUUAUCAAUAUUUCCUAUCAGAGAAAUGUUACUUAUAAAUAUUUAUUAUAUUUUGGAUAAUAAAUGAGUAUAAAAGGUGACUUAAGGAGUAUGUUUCUCUCUAUCAAAUUAAUAAUGUGUAAAUUAUAUAAGCAAUUGUUUAAAAAUUUUUUUUUCAAUGGAUAAAUAAAAUAUAUAUUUUUUCAAUGGAUAAAUAAAAUAUUUUAAAAGGUAAAUUAGUAACUUACACAAAUAAUCAUACUGAUUAGUUUAAGCAUUCAUUAGAAAAAUUACUUCUGAGGCUUUCAUAAAAAAAAUACUGUGUUAUUCAACAUACCUUUACAUACCAUUUAUUAUUAGUGUCAAUGAUAUAACUUUCAAUUAGACCUAGCUAUGUUCUUGAAGGACUUCAUGGUCCCUUAGCAGAACACGAGGCAAUAAUGAUCACUUUCUGGGAAAAACUACACUAGGAAAAUGUGAGAAUCUGAUGCACUAAGCUAUCCUAGCUUUUGGGAUAUGCACUGUCUAGCAUUAUCAGCAUUGUUGGUGAGAUCUCACUAACAUGCAGACGUGUGAAAAGUAAAAUCACAUUUUGUCCUAGUAGAGAUACAAAUUGGAUUUUUUUUCCCCAGUAAGUAAUCUGAAUGAAAUAUUUCUGAAAUUAAAACCUCAAAUGUAAAGGAGGAUAAAUGGGUCUUAUUUUAUUUAAUUUAUUUAUUUUUUUGUAGCCAGUUUGGAACAGAGCAGUUAGUUUAUGGCUUAAGACUGUAUAACAUCUUGAAGGACUGAUUUUCAGUAAAUGUACAUGAUAUAGGACUGUAUACAACUCUUCAAAAUACAAAUAUUUCAACACUGUCAAUUAAAUAAAACCUGCAACAAUUGAUAAGAAAAAGUCUCAUUUUAAAAAUUCCAGGUUGCGUAUCAAAGCAAGAUGCUAUACUCUUUUUUUGGAGCCUCUUCAAUUCUAAGGAGUCCUAGGGUCACUUAAUGGAACUCUACACUUAGCAAGCUGUUAAAAUUUCUUCUUCCUUAGUAACUGAGCAGCAAACGUCCUACUUGGUUUGAUCUGAGCAGCAUAAAUGAAUAUAAAAAACGAGAGGGAACAAAUCUUUAAAAGAUCUAAUAAUAUCAAAAUAUGGUUAUGCUGUACGAAAGUUAUCUAGUUCUUUAGUGAUAUGUUUUACUCCUAUUGUAAUCAAGUUAUGAAUCAUACAUCUAACUAGAUCUAUGUAAACUGGUAAAUAUAAUAAAUGGUUUUAC